AUCCAGCGGACGAGUCGCAAAUAAGACAAACGCGCAGCCUGGAU
rnacentral:hammerhead_ribozyme from 1 species